rnacentral:tRNA from 1 species
CUUACACCGGGGAAGUACCUGUGAAACCCAGGUUGCCUCGA